rnacentral:rRNA from 1 species
GACGUAGGGCGCGAGCGUUGUCCGGAUUUAUUGGGCGUAAAGAGCUCGUAGGCGGUCUGUCGCGUCUGGUGUGAAAUCCCAUGGCUCAACUGUGGGCUUGCAUCGGGUACGGGCAGACUAGAGUGCUGUAGGGGAGACUGGAAUUCCUGGUGUAGCGGUGGAAUGCGCAGAUAUCAGGAGGAACACCGAUGGCGAAGGCAGGUCUCUGGGCAGUUACUGACGCUGAGGAGCGAAAGCAUGGGGAGCGAACAGG